UUAUCUAAAUUACAAACAUGUCUUAAGGACAUAAAAUCCUGGAUGACCUGCAAUUUUCUGAUGUUAAACUCAGAAAAAAACGAAAUUCUUGUUCUUGGCCCCAAAAACCUUAGAGACUCACUGUCUAAAGAUAUAGUUACUCUAGAUGGCAUUAACUUGGCCUCUAGAACCACUGUCAGGAAUCUUGGAGUUAUCUUUGAUCAGGAUUUGUCAUUUAACUCCCACAUAAAGCAGACCUCUAGGACUGCCUUCUUUCAUUUACGUAAUAUUACAAAAAUUAGACACAUACUAUCACAGACAGAUGCAGAAAAACUAAUCCAUGCAUUUGUUACUUCAAGGCUGGAUUACUGCAACUCUUUAUUAUCAGGUUGCCCCAAUAAGUCCAUUAAAACGCUCCAAUUAAUUCAGAACGCUGCAGUACGAGUACUGACAGGAACUAGAAAAAGAGAUCACAUCUCUCCUGUACUAGCUUCUCUGCAUUGGCUCCCUGUAAAAUGUAGAAUAGAAUUUAAAAUCCUCCUCCUCACCUAUAAAGCUCUUCAUGAUCAGGCCCCAUCAUAUCUUAAAGAGCUCAUAGUACCCUAUUACCCCACUAGAACACUACGUUCUCUGAAUGCUGGGCUACUUGUGGUUCCUAUAGUCUCUAAAAGUAGAACAGGAGCCAGAGCCUUCAGUUACCAAGCUCCUCUCCUGUGGAACCAGCUUCCAGUUGUGGUUCUGGAGGCAGACACCCUCACCACAUUCAAGAGUAGGCUUAAGACAUUCCUCUUUGAUAAAGCUUAUAGUUAGGGCUGGAUCAGGUGAGUCCUGAACCAUCCCUUAGUUAUGCUGCUAUAGGCCUAGACCAUCGGGGGAUUUCCCAUGGUGCACUGAGCUCCUCCCUUCCUCUCUCUUUCUGCACUCAUUCAUGUUCCAUUAAUGCAUGUUACUAACUUCACUUCUUCCCCGGAGUUCUUGUGCUUUCUCGUCUCGCAGGUUCUUGUCGAUCCUGGUGGAGCCUCCUGCCAUGGUCCUGCUAGAUUGCCAUUGCCAAUACUGUUGUUGCUGUGCACCUGUCUGUCUCUCGCUCUCUCUCUCUCUCUCUCUCUCUGCCUCCCUCUCUCUCACCCCAACUGGUCGAGACAGACGACCACCCACCUAGAGCCGGAGGAUCUGUCCUAGGUUUCUGCCUUUUAACAGGCAGUGUUUCCUUGCCCUUGUCGCCAAGUGCUUGCUCAUGGUGGUACUGUUGGGUCUCUGUAAUUAAUGUUUUAAAGAGUUCGGUCUAGACCUGCUCUAUUUGAAAAGUGUCCUGAGAUAACUUCUGUUAUGAAUUGGUGCUAUACAAAUAAAAUUGAAUUGAAA